rfam:Mycobacterium sp. EPa45, complete genome.
CAGGUACCGGUUCACGCUCGAAUUGCCAGGUAAAAAUCGGGCGACCCGGCGACC